rnacentral:lncRNA from 1 species
CAUUGUUGAUGAUCGACAACACCAUGGAUUAAAACACCACAGACAUGGUGUUUGAGAGAAUCAUCUGAAAAAUAGACACUUAUUAAAUCAGUAGUACAUCACAGUCCAAAGUGUUACCAAGAAAACUCAAACGGUAACAGAAAAUAGAUAAAGAAAAGCAAGAAGAAAAUCAUCAUCAAGCAAGUAACUAGCUAGAAGGAAGAAACCAGCCUCACUCUUCUCCCCCUUACCUUGACAGAGUGUUCAAACAGCAGCCAAGAGGAAGAGGGAGUGAUAGAAAUGGUGUAUUAAUUACGAGUGCCUCUGGUUGGUAGGUUGCUGUUGAUACAUGACAGCAACUAUUUAUGUAAAGUUGUGCUUGUUUAAUUCGGCCACGUCUCCUUGUGGUUUUAGCAAGUUUGUGUGUUAAUAAAAUUCAUUUAGCUUGUUUCAAGGAAAAGGAAGAAUCGUCAAUCGGAAGCUUUUUGGAAGCAAAAUGGGAUUUCCCUGCACUGAUACAAUUAUGGAAAGUGAGAAUGUAUUUGUCAAAAUGGUUUAGGGUUUGGUACUGAGUUCUGCAACAGCCACAUAGGUUUCGUUUAGGGUUUGGUACUGAGUUCUGCACAUUCCACUUUAAUGCAAACCUUCACACCUAGCUUACUAAAAAUUAGCAUUUGUUGUACCUAGAUCAGUG